rnacentral:rRNA from 1 species
AAUCAACGCUGGCGGCGCGCCUAACACAUGCAAGUCGCACGAGAAAGCGGGGCAACCCGCAAGUACAGUGGCGUACGGGUGAGUAACACGUGGAUGAUCUACCUUCUAGUGGGGAAUAACCCUGGGAAACCGGGGCUAAUACCGCAUAAGCUCGAGAGAGGAAAGCAGCAAUGCGCUGGAAGAGGAGUCCGCGGCCGAUUAGCUAGUUGGGAGGGUAAAAGCCUACCAAGGCAAAGAUCGGUAGCCGGCCUGAGAGGGCACACGGCCACACUGGCACUGAAACACGGGCCAGACUCCUACGGGAGGCAGCAGUGGGGAAUCUUGCACAAUGGGGGAAACCCUGAUGCAGCGACGCCGCGUGAGCGAUGAAGCCCUUCGGGGUGUAAAGCUCUUUCGUCAGGGAAGAUGAUGACGGUACCUGGAGAAGCAGCUGCGGCUAACUACGUGCCAGCAGCCGCGGUAAUACGUAGGCAGCAAGCGUUGUUCGGAGUUACG